UCUAAAUAGUUAUUUUAAUCUCAGGAUUAAAAUAGUAUCAAUAUAUAUAUAUAUAUAUAUCUUAAAUCUAACAAUCAAAUUAUAAGAGAAUCAUCUAUACUUGAACUACAAAGGUUGAUUCCGUGUCUCGAUUUUGUUUAGAAAUAUUAGCAAGUUGAGUAACCUCAUUCUUUCUAAAAUAGGGAUAUUCCUGAAUGUUGUUUACUACUUUUAUUAUGUUGCUUAUUUUUGUGGUUCCAUUUGAACAGGAUGUGCACUCUUGUCUCCGUCGUUAUACCUAUUUUAGAAUCCAUGGCAGCAUGUUGUGCUUUGUUGGCACAUUCGUGCAUAUGUGAGGUAGCAGAUGAAGAAGCACCGAAUGAUCAUUAUAUUCUCCUCUACUCUGAUCUUCUAUUGACAUAUUGUUUUCAGUUGCUAUUUAGUAUGGAUGCCUCCAUGGUUGCAUAGGCAUCCAUGGUUCUGUGAGGAUGUUAUCUAUGUCGUUCUGUUUUAUAUAGAUGUCUAAUUAGCUGGUUAUUUGAACAUGAAAAGGAGUAUCACUCGGCAGGAAGGUCAACCAUGGGGAGGUGCAACAUGGCGUGGCCUCAGCAGCCAAUUAGGUAUUGGAAGUUUUGGGUUCCACGGAAUUAUUGGUGCUUAUCUACAAAUUUGAUUAUGCUUAUCAUUCUAGAUUUUCUGAUCCUUAGUUGAACAGUACCGUUGAUAAAGCUACACGGUGGAUGCUAUUCAUUAUAUAAGAAUUUGCUGGUGUUUGAUGCGAAAUAUCGGUGGCCAAAAUGUUGUUAUGGUCAGGUCGACCUGAAUAUUAUGUUCAUCCGUCUACACCUCCUCUUGUGGUAUCCAGUUGUUCAAGUACUGGUCACCUCCUCAUGGCAGACGCUUACAAGUGCUCCUGCUUGUUGAAAAUGCCUGAGACAAGUCACUAACUGAGCCUAAUAAAAUAGUAGAGAAACUUUUUACAACGGUACAAAAAUGUAGAACAAAUCAAGUAGAAGAAGAGACAGAACGCACAAACACUUUUGAAAGGAAUAUCAGUUUCAUACAUUAUUUGUAGUGCUAAAAUAAACAUAUAUACUGCAGGUUUAGGACUAAUUUAUUAUAGGCAAACCUGCACACAUGUGCUACUCUACCCAGGCUUAAUUCGUCCUAGCAAAAGAAAUCACAUCAUGAGCAAAAGAACGAAUUCACUACUAACAUUUCAAAUCAAGAUUUAUCCAUCUAGCAGUCCAAAAAUAUAUUUCUCUUCUCAUUAUUCCAACAGCCUUUUCUGUACCAGCAAUGUGACACUACACUACAAUAUAUUUUCACAAGCUGUGAAAAAAAUAAAGAAUUUGACAAUCGAUAGCCUCCGGUCUAUAAUUAUAAUUUUGCGUGCACUUUGGAGCUAUUGGAUGCCCGAAUGUGUCGUGUUCGUCCAUUGUGCCAUGUUAAGACUUGUAGCUUGAGAGGAGGGAAAUAGUUAAGCAGGUUGUAUAGAGUUGCUACCAUACCAUUUUUUUUGUGACUGCAGGGUCUCACCAUCAAUUUUCUUAAAGUAUAUUAACCUCUUGUUCUUGGAAGAAUAGAUUUUCCAUGGCCUCUGUUUUACUUGCUGGGUGGAUUACACGUUACUUCCUUGGAUGUUUAAAGGUUAUUAUAUCCUUUCUCCCCUUUUUAUCGGCAAGCAUUCUCUCAUCUUCUGGUAACUUGAGUAAGUUGCAACACACUAAUGCUUUCUUAGUCUGGUUUGUUCUUGCAAAAAAUAAUUGAAGUGUGCAGACAGGCAGCAUGGAAACACUAAAGAGAAGUUUCAUACAUACUAAUAGCUAGAGUGAUUUCAUACCUGUAGGAACCGUCUUAGAAGAAAUAAGUUUCAGCUAUUUUCUAAAGAUAUUAGACCAUAAGAUUAUUCUUAAGUUAAGAUGUUUGGCAUGGACUAACGUGUAUACGGCUGGAGUGGUUCCGGAUUUGUUACAAGCUCCUUGUGUUGAGGAACGUCAAAGUGGGAAAGUUUCUAUUAUUUUCGAUACUAUUAUUCAAAUGCUGAAGUGUAAUUUAUCACAUCCCCAACAUAGGAUAUACACAUUUUACUGUACAGUCACUAAACCUAUGUUAUCAAGUUUUAUCUAAGUAGUGUAUCACCAAUGUUCACUACUGUUUCAAAAACAGAAGCAAUGUGGCUCACACUGAUCAAUCACAUGUUUUAUCUCAACGGAUUCUUUAAAUUUUGACAUGCUGUUUUGAAGUAUAUAUUGGCAUUAUGCUGAAAAGGGACCUGAGAGGUGAUGUUUUAUUAUCUAUCCUGGUAGAAUAAUCCAAAGAUAUGUUUUACUAACCAAUUUAUAUGCCUAACUAUGCUGCUAUUGUUAUUAUUUUCUUAAUGGAUGUGCCUAAAAUUGCUCUUCCUAGCACUGCUCUAUAAAUUUUAAUCCAUCUUUUUGUUCCUUUUGUUUAUCAUGGCGUACUCAUCCUGUCUAAUCCAAGCAAGGGCCUUCAUUUUGCAGAUAGUUUGAUGCUCUCAUGGUUAAUCUUUUUCUUGGAACUAUUGGCAUGCAGAGGAGGUUGCGUUUUAUUUGCUGGUUUAUGUGAUUGGCGGGGAUGGAACAAUGAGAGGAGCAGUGGCGAUAUUUGAAGAGUUUAAAUGGUGUCAUUUGAGGAUAUCCAUUACAGGGAUCCCAAAAAACUUGGACAACGACAUCGACAUCAUAGACAAGGCGUUUGGGUUUCAAACUGCAGUGGAGUGUGCUCAGUAGGCAAUCGAUGUGACACAUGUGCGGUUGUGAAUAUUGUGGAUGGCAUUGGUCUUGUCAAACUUAUGGGAAGGAGCACGGGCCACAUUACUCUUCAUGCCACCCUGAGCAGCCUGAGAUGUUGACUGCUGUUUGAAUCCGGAGAUCGAUUUCCAUGUUGAAGGGAAGGGGCAUGCUAUCGUUGUUGUUGCUCAAGGUGCUGGUCAGAAGUUGAUUCCCCGUAUUGAUGACCAGAAGCGAGAGUAGGAUGAGUAUGGCAACAUGUUGUUCCUUAGCAUUGGCCUUCUAUGAAGUUUACAUACAAUUCACCUGCAUGGUUAAAAAAGCUACUAUACUAAUGUAAAUGUUCUGUUUCUUUGAAGAUUACUCAUUUCUCUUAGCGUUGUUGUAUCGAAACAAUUGUGUUUUGGCCGCUUGCGCUCAUUUUAUAGGAGAUUGAGAUGUGGGACAAGCUA